rnacentral:lncRNA from 10 species
ACCAGCAAGAGCAAGAAGUAUUGGCAGCAGCAGGCAGCCAGGCAGGCUGGGAGUUUGCAUGGAAAUCAUGAAGUCUUUCUUGUCUUCCUCUUUUGAAAUAUUUUGGAAGGCGAGUUAAGAAUAGCUCAGAAACUGGUCUCAUUCUUUUUGUGGGAAGAAUGACCAGAAGCAUAAAAGCUAAGUCUUCCAGCAAGUGCAAGACACCUCUUUUGGUGUUUGCAGUAAACCUAACAAGAAUGAAUUGCUAUCAGUAAAGUCCUGUACCAUGACACCUAAAAGGAAGGAAAUGGUAAAGCAAAGUAAUAACUCAAAGACAGUCACCGAGGGCUUUUGUCCACCUUUAACUCAUUGUGGAACUUGACAUCAUCAGACAGUAAAUCAAGAGGUACUGACAACUGAGACUGAGUGAUGGUCCCUGCCUAGGAUUUGGAAUCUUUGCAUGAAAUAGGGACUCUAGCCACCAGCGACAAAGAAGUCAGGGAGACUGCGGUCUCUAGGAAGCACUUCCAGGAAACAGGAAUUCAGGCAAAGUUGGACAUUCCAAAGAUGGCGUAGAUGAACAUGACCAGGAAGAGCAGGAGGCCGAUGUUAAACAACGCAGGAAGGGACAUCAUCAAAGCAAAGAGCAGCGUGCGGAUCCCCUUUGCUCCUUUGACUAGACGUAGGAUUCGGCCAAUCCUGGCAAGACGGAUCACUCGGAACAGGGUAGCAGAGAUCUCUGGAGGUGAAACAUUGCUCUGAACUGGCAUUGAUUCUAGCCCAGCUCUUGUAGACCAAUUACCAACUUCUCCAUCUCCCUCCAGUGCCUGGAACUGGACCUGGCACACAGGCAAAGGGUUAUCAACUGUGCUGCACUCUGAGGAGCUUGACCGGUUUAAUCUCUAGAAAGGAAUUCACCACCCCACCAGCACGCGGAACACAAUCAGGAAGGAGUGGAAGAAGUCGUUCAUGUGCCACCGUGGGAGCGUACAGUCAUCAUUGAUCUUGCAGACACAUUCUUUGUAGCUCUUACCAAAGAGCUGCAUGCCGACCACAGCAAAAAUGAAGACGAUGAUGGCCAACACUAAGCCUUUAGACUAAAAAGAAAACAAAUAUUACAUACCCUGAAUCUGUGCUGAAACCACAAAGGAGAGCAUCUUUGGAUCCUUCCAAGUAAUAAAAAUAUUCUGUUGAAGAAGAAUUUGAACAGUUAUAACAUCACAGACUUUAAUCUGUGAUUGUGAUAAAGGAGGUCAAAUUAAAAAAUCUGAUUAUUGGGAGACUUUUGGAGUAAUCAUGGAAGAAAGACUAUGAAAUCAGAUAUUCUUGGAUUUGAAUGUUGCUUCUAUCCCUUCUUAAGUUUUAUUCAUUUUUAAACAAGAACUUGGAAAAAGUGUAAACCUAAUUGGCACUGCAUAGACUAUCCAUCCAAGUGCUGAGCAUGGAGGAAGAUGAUCAAUCUCAAUGAUGUCACAUACCUCUGAGUGGGAGAUAGUCUUUUUGAAAAAUUUAGUAUUUGCCUAUCAAUGACUAGCUUUCAUAUAGCUUCCAUUUUCCUUUAAAUACAGACAUUCCAUGCUGGAAAAAUCAGACCCCAGAGGUUUGCUGUUAUUGGAACACUGUGCUGCCUGAGAUUUUCAUAAAUUUGCCGUUUCAAAAAGCUGAAAGUACUUACGCAAAAACAAUGACGACAAAAUCCAGCCAGUUCCACGGGUCACGAAGAAAAGUGAAUUCUCCUACACAGAAGCCUCUUGCAAGGAUUUUUACAAGUGAUUCAAAAGUAUAUAUUCCAGUAAAAGUGUACCUAAACACAAGAUUCCAUUGGGAUACUAGAUGUGAAAAGAAUACAACCACCAUGUAAAUCUUUAUAACUUAUUUUCUCUAAUUAACCACUGGAAGACAUAUAUUGGAGGAUGGCUGUUGGGUUAUGGACACACCCUAUUAAACUACAAUAGGUCUAUCCAGAAAAUAUUAAAAUGUCAAUAUCAGAAACACUCCCAGAAAGCAGAGGUACUUGAAAUAACUAAGAAUAUAGGUCUCAGAUCUGCCUAAAAAUUUCCUACAUUGCUUCUAUCAAAAAUUCACCCAAUCAUUUAAAAAUACACCCAUAUAAUUAUAAAACAUACACCCAAGAAUAAAAUAUGUGUAACAUGUCUAAGAACAGGAUGGAGCAUCUGACAAGUUCAUUCUUUGAGAAAACACUGUAGCAUCUAAUUUUUCUAAUCUAGCAGGUUAAUAUCAUAGAGGAGGUAAAGAACAAAAGAAAAGCAAGCAUAUAACAUGGGAAGGUAAAGAUUCCCCAUCUUCAUAAAUGCAGUAACUUCCUGGCAGGAAAAGGAAAGGAUGAAAUGAUAAUACCAAAACUAUAUUAAAAUGUACUUAUACCCACUUACUCGACAUUUUUGGUCCAGUCCGGUGGGUUAUUCAUGGUCAUAAAUAUGCAGUUUGUCAGAAUAGUGCACAUGAUGAGCAUGCUGAAUAAGGUAGCUUAGAAUCAAGGAACAAAAGAGACGACAGUGGGAAUUUGAAAUAUUUGAGGAUGACACUUGUUGAAAUGCUUACAACUUUUCCUAAGAAAAAAAUUCUAAAUGAGCUUGUAGACUAUUUUGUCUCUUUGAACAAGAGAGUAAUAAAUAAAAGUAACAUAUCCUAAAAUCUUAAUAUUGCCACUCUCCCAGUCUUCUCUGA